AGUGAACGCUGGCGGCGUGCCUAAUACAUGCAAGUCGAACGGAAUUUAAAAGAGCUUGCUCUUUUGAAUUUAGUGGCGCACGGGUGAGUAACAUAUAGCUAAUCUGCCCCUUGCUGGAGGACAACAGUUAGAAAUGACUGCUAAUACUCCAUACUCCUUUUUACCAUAAGAUAAAUCGGGAUAGAAUUUCGGCAAGGGAUGAGACUAUAUCGUAUCAGCUAGUCGGUGGGGUAACGGCCUACCGAGGCUAUGACGCGUAACUGGUCUGAGAGGAUGAUCAGUCACAUUGGAACUGAGACACGGUCCAAACUCCUACGGGAGGCAGCAGUAGGGAAUAUUGCGCAAUGGGGGAAACCCUGACGCAGCAACGCCGCGUGGAGGAUGACACUCUUCGGAGCGUAAACUCCUUUUGUUAGGGAAGAAUAAUGACGGUACCUAACGAAUAAGCACCGGUAA
rnacentral:rRNA from 1 species